UCAUUUACCAUAAAAAGAGUUUAGCAUACAUUAAUACAAAUAUAGAAUAUGGUAGAAAUUAAAAAAAAAACACUACAGAUUAUGGGCUUCAUUAUAUAACGAAUUUACCAAAAAUUCAAUAUUUUUGUAGUGGUUAGCCCAUAGAUUUUGAGAAAAUUUCAAAAAUAUGACAAUAUUGUUUUAAUGCCUAGUUGCAUCCUGCACUAACAUAUGAUUAUGUUCAAAGAGGUUUGGAGCCUUUGUCGUCUCCGUUUAUCAAGAAAAUAAUAAUUUUAUAGCGGUUAUUCCAUCGAUUUAGGGAGUGUUAUGAAGUUUUAUAAAAUUAAUUGAUAAAAACAAUUGAAUGAUGCUCAUUUACCAUGAAAAAGAGUUUAGCAUACAUUAAUAAAAAUG